AGCAGCCGCGGUAAUUCCAGCUCCAAUAGCGUAUAUUAAAGUUGUUGCAGUUAAAAAGCUCGUAGUUGAAUUUCGGGGUCAGUAGGUCGGUCGUGCCACAGGUAUGUACUGGUCUCACUGAUUCCUCCUUCCUGAUGAACCGUAAUGCCAUUAAUUUGGUGUUGCGGGGAAACUGGACUGUUACUUUGAAAAAAUUAGAGUGUUUAAAGCAGGCUAACGCUUGAAUACAUUAGCAUGGAAUAAUGAAAUAGGACGUUCGAUCUUAUUUUGUUGGUUUCUAGGAUUGACGUAAUGAUUAAUAGGGAUAGUUGGGGGCAUUAGUAUUCAAUUGUCAGAGGUGAAAUUCUUGGAUUUAUUGAAGACUAACUACUGCGAAAGCAUUUGCCAAGGAUGUUUUCAUUAAUCAAGAACGAAAGUUAGGGGAUCGAAGACGAUCAGAUACCGUCGUAGUCUUAACCAUAAACUAUGCCGACUAGGGAUCGGAUGAUGUUAAUUUUAUAAUGACUCAUUCGGCGUACCC
rnacentral:rRNA from 1 species